UGCCUGCCAUAACGUCAAGGAGUUAACGGGCCAACAGGCUGCAGGUGUGGUUAGGUAGGCAAUUAUGGUUUGACUAUUGUUAGACUAUCAUUGGCCUUAAUUGGCCCACACCUGUAGCCUGUAACAGCCAAAUGCCUGGCUGGUAAAAGGGAGCAUGUGCCACCAGUCUGGUGGGUUGUUUGUUUUGUUUUCCUGCCUGAGAACCUCUGGGGUUUAUCUACAAUAAAACCCGAAUAGAAUAACUGGAAUCAGUGUCGGAUAACGUUGUGGUCCUUUGCAUCUGUUCUCUACAGGGGCUACGAGGAAUGGCCCGUCUGCUGCUGGGAUCCAUAAAGGACUGGACUGCAGAAUAAGGCAAGAGGCUUACAUAAACCUAAGCAGAGCAGCAAAGAAGGAAGCAGGGAAAGAAACCCUUUCACCCAACAAAUAGCCAACUCCGCUAAUAACAACUAGCCCCAGUUUCUGUCCUUCCCACUGAGAAACCAACAAAACCAUAUGAAAGAAGCUGUGAGAGAACCUUGCAAAUCUUGUUAGCGAGCGUGGGGAAACAAGACAACACAGGCUGCUGUAAAGAGAUGAAGGG